rnacentral:rRNA from 1 species
AUGUGUCUCCCGUUCCUCUGCGGCGGCCGCGAUGAUCACGGGCCGUCCCCGCGGCACCAACGAUCCCCGCCGUCGCCGCAGCAUCCUCAUGCAUUUUCAGAGCAAGACCAUCCAGCAGCAUACUCUGCAUACCCCUGGAAACAACCAGCCUAUGAAUCGUCUUACCAGGGAGACGAGACCAAGAACGGAGCGCCCCAGGCGGCGCAAGCAAAUGCGAGAGACUGGAGAAUGGAUAACGGGCCGGCGCAUCCUGCACCAAGGUACGCUCCUGCCGAUGCUCCUCGCCAUGGGCAUGAGCCACCGGCAGAUCCGCGGCUGGUGGAGGACUGGACGAGGCAAGGUCCGGCACGGCUGUUUACCACCCGUCGGGCUGGAGACGACGACGCCCCUACUGCCGCCUCCAACGACCAGCUCAAUCGCGGUGCUAGCCGUGGCGGCGCGGGGUCGAAAUCACGGGGACCGGUGAUCAGGUGA